ACGUAUCAUCACAAGAAGAUGCAUCCAUCAUGGAAACCUGCGACAAAAACAAUCAAACUCUAGAGCAGCCACAAGUCAUGACUUACGGUAAUAAUCUCGAUUUUAUACUCGCAUUCCAAGUAAAUGUAAAUCCGUCUGUACAACUAACCAUCUAUUCUGGACAGGCAUCCCCUCCUCAAUGUUUCCAAGCAUCAAAGAAAGCGAUGCACCAACACAAUCAUUAGACAAUAAAGUGGGUCUGUGGCCAGACAUCCCCUCCACAAUGCUUCAAACAAUCAAAGAAGUGCAUGGACGAAUACAAUCAUUCUGCAAUGAUGAUCACGGUAAGUUCAUAAAUUACAUAUUAAUACUUUUAUAUAAAAACAUUUUAUAUACAUAACAACAACAAAAAAUAAACAGGUAAUGAUGCAAUCAUAUAUGAGCAAGAAGCAACGAUUAAGGAAAUAGAUACGGCAGCAAAAACAAUCUACAACGAGGAUCACGGUAAGGUUAUCAAUUUCAUAAAUGUUCUUACUCAAUACAAUCAUAUAUAUACACACACACACAACACACACACAUAUAUACAAUCAAAAAUUGCAACACAGGUAAUGAUGAAGUCAUAUUUGAAGAAGACACAGACGAAGAUGAAUACAUGUUCACCGGUGAAGGUAUGCUUAAUACAAUUAAAAUAAAUUUGCAACAUUAUAACACUGCUUACUAAAUUUAAUAUGUUGCAUAUCAAACCAGAGUGGGACAGAGAAGUGGAAAUUGAAAUCGUAGAAGACGAGGAAGCUCUCAACCCCGAUCCAUAUGAUUUCGUCUACAACAACAUACCAACAAGCACAAACAUGCUCGAAGAAGAAGAAGAUUGCUCAUUAUGCCAUGCAACCAAAUUCAAGUAUGAAACUGAGGGAUUAUGCUGCAAAAAAGGACAAAUAAGACUAGCCACUCCAGAUACGCCUCCUGAGCUAAUGAGACUUUGGACAAGCAACAACCCUGAUGCAAGACAUUUUCGCCAAAACAUAAGAUUUUUCAAUGGGCACUUCUCAUUUACUACUCUAUACUGUCACCUCGACAGAGACACGACAGACAUGCGAACGGCCGGUAUUUACACCUUUCCAGCACAUGGUCAGCUAUAUCACAACAUACACUCAUUUGGUAAUAGCCAAUCAAAUCCAAAGCAUCUCGAGCUAUACUUCUACGACGAUGAUCCAAGCUUAGAGCAUCGAUACCGCCUUUGCCGUGAGGAAAUGUACAAGCAAGACAAGAAUGUCAUUCGAAUUAUAACAGACAUCCUACGCGGUAACCCAUACUCUCAACAGUUCAGAAGUUUGGGACAAGCCGAAAACAUUGAGGACUAUAGACUCAUCUUGAACCUUGACCAGAGAUUGGACCAAAGAACAUACAACGAGCCAAUCAAUUCGGAGGUAGCUGCAGUGUGGAUUGAAGGAAAUGAAAGAAGGGAUACUUAUGACAGAAAUGUAAUAUUACAUGGGAACAACAACGAAAAAGAGCACAUUCGAUCAUAUUGUGGGUGCUAUGAUCCGUUGUCAUAUCCUCUAUUCUUUCCAAGAGCUGAACUCGGUUGGCAUAGGAAAAUACCAAAGAGGGAAACACAAGAGGCACAUAUUGCUACUGAUAAUAUCAUUAAUGACGAUGACCCAGGUAAAAAACAUAUACUAUUAUAUAUUUAAAAUACAAUUUUCAUAUACUAAUACCUAUGCAACUAACUUUUUAUCUUGCGAUAUUUGCACAGAUUCAGUCAGUGGCCUGUGGGUAACCAUGAGAGAAUACUACUGCUAUAAAUUCCAUACACGACCAGGCAUAUUCAACCCAAUUUUGCACGGCGGACGGCUUUUCCAGCAAUUUGUUGUAGAUACAUACAUCAAGAUUGAAAGUUCCAGACUGGAUUACAUCUGGCACAAUCAAAAGCAAAUAAGGGCGGAGCUAUACCAAGGCCUUCUAGACAGGAUUUAAGCUAGAGAGCAAAAUGGAGAUGCAGUCAGAAAAAGAAGAGUGCUUGCCUCAUCAUUUAUUGGAGGGCCACGAGAUAGACUUCGUCGGUAUCUCGAUGCUAUGGCUUUAGUUAGAAAAUAUGGAAAGCCAGACGUAUUCCUAACAAUGACCUGCAACCCCAACUGGGAAGAGAUCACACGUGAACUAGAGACUGGACAAACACCACAAGAUCGCCCAGACAUUGUCGUUCGUGUUUUCAGGGCAAAGCUACAAGAAAUGAAGAAGGAACUAUUUGAGAAGGGAAUUAUUGGAAAGGUUCAGGCAUAUACAUAUGUCGUAGAGUUCCAAAAGAGGGGAUUACCCCAUGCUCACUUUUUCCUCAUCAUGACUGGAAAAUACAAGUACACAUGUCCAGAACAGUAUGACAGAAUCAUCUCCGCCGAGCUCCCUAACAAGCACAAGUACCCAUAGCUAUACAGAAUGGUAAUCAAACAUAUGAUGCAUGGUCCUUGCGGUGCAUUGAAUAAACUUUGUCCAUGCACAAAGAAUCGUCCAUCAUGCAAGAACAAUUAUCCAAGGCCAUUUAACGAAACUACGAUUCAAGGCAAGGACUCCUACCUGAUAUAUAGGAGAUGCAAUGACGGUCGGACUGAAACGGUCCGAAAUUGCGAACUAGAUAACAGGUGGGUGGUUCCUUACAAUCCCUAUCUGUUAAGGAUGUUCAACUGCCACAUAAAUGUUGAGAUAUGCGCAAGCAUUAAAGCCAUAAAGUACCUCUUCAAGUACAUCUACAAGGGUCAUGACCGGGCGUCUGUAUCUGUAACAGACAAAGUGGACGAAGUAGAAAUCGACGAGAUUAAGCAGUACAGAGACGCACGGUGGGUGACACCUCCUGAAGCACUAUGGAGAAUAUAUGGCUUUGAACUAAGCAAAAUGCACCCACCAGUCUUGCAAUUGCAACUACAUCUCCCAAAUAAGCACAUGGUUUCAUAUCAUAGCAUGGAAACCAUACAAAAUGUUAUCGACCGUGAAGGCACAUCAAGAUCAAUGUUGACUGCGUGCUUUGAAGCAAACAUCACAUAUCCAAAAGCACGAGGCAUACUAUACAGAGAGUUUCCGGAACAUUGGCAAAGUCAAGGGAAGUUUUGGCAACAGAGGAAGCGAGCCUCGGUGUUCCAGGUUGGCAGGAUCGUCUCAACACACCCGGCUGAAGGAGAACGAUACUAUCUUCGAGUCCUCCUAAACCAUGUGACUGGAGCCACCAGCUUCGAAGACCUACGAACAGUCAAUGGAUAAGUAAUGCCAACCUUUCGAGAAGCUGCAGAAAAAGAGGUCUCAUUGAGGCAGAUAGCACAUUGGAUGACUGCAUGGCAGAAGCGGAGUUGUUUAGAAUGCCAUCAUCGCUACGAAGGCUAUUCGCGACGAUCUUGGUUUUUUGCGAGCCUAACGACGUACGCAGCCUCUGGAACAAACACCUUGAGGCAAUGUCAGAGGACUACAGCAGAAAUUGCAAAUGCAAACACACAGUCGAACAGAUGGUUCUAAAAAAUAUCAGAGACAUGUUGCACUUGAUGGGAAAAGACAUAGAAUCGUUUCCUCUUCCAAAAAUCGACCAACAGCAUGAGACGACAGAUGACAUACCGAGGGAGAUCACCGAGGAGACCUCCAUCGAGGUGGACCCCGAGGACACAACGUUGCAUAAAAACCUAAACUACGAGCAGAGAAAGGCAUACGACGAAAUCCUAGCGACAAUUGACAGCCAAAAAGGAGGUAUAUUCUUUGUGGAUGGACCUGGAGGCACAUGAAAAACUUUUCUUUAUAGGGCGCUCUUGGCAACAAUACGCAGACAAGGCAAGAUUGUUGUGGCAACCGCCACUUCUGGUGUGGCUGCUUCCAUAAUGCCCGAAGGGAGAACCGCGCACUCGUGGUUCAAGAUUCCACUUAAAAUAGACGAUGGGGAUAUUUGUGGCUUCACAAAACAAAGUGGGACAUCCAAGCUACUCCAAGCAGCAUCACUAAUAAUCUGGGAUGAAGCAUCUAUGACCAAGAGGCAGACAGUGGAGGCGCUAGAUAAAAGCAUGCGGGACAUAAUGGACAAAUCGUACCUUCCAUUCGGUGGAAAAAAUAGUUGUAUUUGGAGGAGAUUUUAGGCAAGUACUACAUGUUGUCCGAAAGGGAACAAGAGCCUAGAUAGUAGAUGCAUCACUACGCAGGUCGGUCCUCUGGAAUUCAAUGCGUCAAUUGAAGCUUGUGCACAACAUGAGGGCUCAAAACGACCUGUGGUUCCCAGAAUACCUACUACGCAUUGGAAACGGAACCGAGGAGACAAAUGAUGAUGGUGAAAUACAACUACCUACAAGUAUAUGUGUGUCAAGUAAGGAUGACAAUGGCCUGGAUAGACUAAUCAACAAUGUCUACCAAACGGACAAAGCUUCACUAAAAGAUCCAAAGUACAUCACGUCAGCAAUUUUAUCCGCAAGGAAUGACUCCGUGGACAAAAUAAACCUAAAAAUGAUUGAUCGUUUCCAGGGGAGGAGAUGGUGUACCACAGCUUCAAUUCGGUAGAAGACGACCCACAUAACUACUAUCCACCAGAAUUCCUGAACACUCUCACACCAAAUGGACUGCCUCCCCAUAUGUUGAAGCUAAAAAUAAAUUGCCCAAUCAUACUACUCAGGAACAUCGACCCUGCUAAUGGACUAUGUAACGACACGAGGUUGGUCGUACAUGGAUUCCAAAAAAAUGCAAUUGAUGCAGAGAUUGUGGUGGGAUAGUACUCUGGAACACGAGUUUUCCUACCUAGACAAUUUCCAUGUUUCCGUUCCACCACAGAGUACUGAAUUCGAUUGAUGCAGAAAUUGUGGUGGGACAGUACUCUGUGGUGGGACGAUGACAUGUUUCCGUUCAGUUUCAAGAGGAAACAGUUUCCAGUCAAACUCAGUUUUGCAAUGACAAUAAAUAAAUCACAAGGCCAAACAAUACCAAAUGUUGGCAUCUACCUGCCUGAACCGAUUUUCUCACAUGGUCAGCUAUAUGUUGCGCUAUCAAGAGCAACUGCAACAUCAAACAUAAAGGCGCUAACAGGUACACAUGAUGUGAGCAAGCAAAAGAAUAAAAAGACCACUACAGACGACACAUACACAAAGGGAGAGAAGAAAAAAAAGGAAAAGGAAGACCAAUACAUGCGAGACAUAUACGAAAAAUAUUGUCUACAGGGAAGUCCUAACAAAAUAGGUAAUACAACCUUUCGAUUUCUUCUUCAAAAAUUCAGUUCUACAUAUUCAAGUGUUGUUAUCUAACAUUAAACAUAUUACUUGGAUUAUGCAGGAACACAGCAGCCAAGUGACAAACUCGCAGUUAGAAUUAAAAACUUGAUCGUCUUGGAAGGAGACAGAAACAUUUGUGUAUAUACAAAAUUAUUGAUGGUAUAAUUUUCAUUUAUAAAGAUCUGAAUCACCAAAUCAUUCAUGGAUAUUUUUAAUUAUGUGUCCAGUAACAUGCAGAAUCUCAUCUGUGAUUAUUUUUCUCCAAUUACAUCAUUCUUAAAGCAUAUUAUUAAAUGCAAACCAAUAGCUAAUAUUCACAUUGUUAUAUUACAUAUGUACAAUGCAAUCAAAUCUGUUUUCAAAUUUAUAUAUUAAUUAUUAUCAAGGAAAUAUUAAAACUACAUCUAAUCAAAUGUGCUUAAAAUGGUUCACUGUUAAAAGAGGUAGACGGCCUGACACUGCCAAUGCCGGUACCAAGCCCCGGAAAAAAGUGGAGGGGGCAAAAACUAAUUAACAAUGAACCUUAAGAUGAGAGGUACAACAUGAAAAGAAAUAACUGUGCUCCACACAGGAAAACGGGCUGCAGAAAUUGAUAGCAAGGAAAUGUGUACCUACUUCAGAUGUAGCCUCUUAUAAAUUCAUCUUGGAUAGUAUGAACAAACUGGAACUGCACCAAGCAAUAGAAUUUGACUCAAUGA
rnacentral:lncRNA from 1 species